UAUUGCUGUUUUGCUUUAUUUCGUCGGUCGCAGAGUUCGCUUCUCAAUUCUCAAUUUUAUUCCUUUUCAUCUUUUCGAACUUUCAUUUUUUUUUGCACUUAUGUGUGUCUUGCACUGCGUCUUCGUGUCAAAGCAGUUGUAAAAAUCAACUUUUCAUAAUGACUGUUGAAGUGUUGAUGGCUGAUUUUUUUCUUCAUUCUUUUCCAAAACGUAGAACUCUUUGGUAGAACGCUAUACCUACUUAUUAUCAACAAGUUGAACAAUUUUCAUGAGCUGCUUUUUGUCUUUGUAUAUUAAAAAUAUUUUAGAUAAUGAUAUAACCUAUGCAAGGUUAAUUUAUAUUACGAACCAGUAUCUUCCAGAGAGCCGAAUUUAGGGCUAAGUUAAUGAAGUGGAAAAAAUAAAGUAUCCAUCUGAAGAGGACACAUUUCUCCAAGAUGCAAACGAUUUAAAUUGGUUAAAAACAAAUUUAAAAUUAAACUCUGGUGGCCAAGGGUCUACAGCAUCAACUGCUCCCUCUGUUUCCUACGACCUGAACUCUAUCGAUGUAUCAUCUUUAAUUCAUGGGUGUUCAAAGGGGAAGCAAUUGAUGGCUUUUUAUGAAAAAAAUCGGUAUCUGCAAAACAUACACAGAGAUGAAAUCAUAAAAAUAAUAGUGGAAGAAGCAAAUUGCAAGGACAAGACAAUCAAACCUUGGAAGUUCAGCGGUCUUGUCGCACAAAUUGUCUCAGUUUUUCCUUCCGAGAGUGAAGUCAAGAGUGUAUUGUCUCACGCGUGCACAUAGAAAGAUAUUUUUAUUAGAUACCUAAAACUCUGAUCAGAUAACUCCCUUCAAGCAAACAAGUCCGACCUCGGUCCGAAUCCGCUCCGCCUCAGGUGGAGCUGAGUCCGACUUCAACUCAGAAACAGGUCCAAAGGCGGCUCAAAUUAGUAUGGAAAUUAUAAUCACCGCGAAGUCGAUUGCAUAUGUAUUGGUGUGGUGAAAAUCUCCAUUCCGAGAAAACGGAGCCGAAGUCGGACCCGAGGCGGAGCAGCGGAAACCUACCAGAAAGAGGAAUAAAAAAGGGAUGACGUUUCGCAUUUGCGACUAAAAAAAGAACAAGAUUUAUUUUUUUUUUCACUGAGACUGUUUUAUUUCUUAUUUUAUUUUGUCAAACGAAAUU